rnacentral:snRNA from 1 species
AUACUUACCUAGCAGGGAGAUACCAUGAUCAUGGAGGUGGUUUUCCCUGGGUGAGGCUUAUCCAUUGCACUCCAGAUGUGCUGACACCUGCAAUUUCCCCAAAUGUGGGAAACUCAACUGUGUAAAGU